GGGCGAUUAGCUCAGCGGCAGAGCGUCCCCUUCACACGGGGAAGGUCGCAGGUUCAAUCCCUGCAUCGCCCACCA
rnacentral:tRNA from 1 species